UAAUAGCAGUCAGAAAAAUUCCCGAAUAGACCAAAUGUGUCCUUCUCUUCUGCUUGAUUGAAUAGAAGUAAAAGUAUUGACAUUAAAUAGGCAACUCAGAUAAAUGGAAAAGACGUUUUCAUAAACGUUGUUCGUUUUAGGAUUUUUUUGAAAAAUUUUAGUUGAUUUUUGAAUCUCAAAUACGGAUUAGUUAAAAUGUCGCAAAAUUUUUCAUUUGUUGAACAACAAUAGCGCUGAAUUGAAGCCGUUUAAAAGAAGCAA